UUUGGCGGACGGGUGAGUAACGCGUAAGAAUCACCUUUAGGAGGGGGGACAACAACUGGAAACGGUUGCUAAUACCCCAUACGCUGAGGAGUGAAAUAAAUUUUGCCUAGAGAUGAGCUUGCGUCUGAUUAGUUAGUUGGUAAGGUAAUGGCUUACCAAGGCUAUGAUCAGUAGCUGGUCUGAGAGGAUGAUCAGCCACACUGGGACUGAGACACGGCCCAG
rnacentral:rRNA from 1 species